GAUGAACGCUGGCGGCGUGCCUAAUACAUGCAAGUCGAGCGAACAGACGAGGAGCUUGCUCCUCUGACGUUAGCGGCGGACGGGUGAGUAACACGUGGAUAACCUACCUAUAAGACUGGGAUAACUUCGGGAAACCGGCGCUAAUACCGGAUAAUAUAUUGAACCGCAUGGUUCAAUAGUGAAAGACGGUGUUGCUGUCACUUAUAGAUGGAUCCGCGCCGCAUUAGCUAGUUGGUAAGGUAACGGCUUACCAAGGCGACGAUGCGUAUCCGACGUGAGAGGGUGAUCGCCCACCCGGGAGCGUAGACACGGUCCAGACUCCUACGGGAGGCAGCAGAAGGGAAUCUUCCGCAAUGGGCGAAAGCCUGACGGAGCAACGCCGCGUGAGUGAUGAAGGUCUUCGGAUCGUAAAACUCUGUUAUUAGGGAAGAACAAAUGUGUAAGGAACUAUGCACUGCUUGACGGUACCUAAUCAGAAAGCCACGGCUAACUACGUG
rnacentral:rRNA from 1 species